CAGGCCCGUGCUGUAUCCAGUAGGCCGUGAAGAAGAACAGGCAAACGAGGAAAUGGAACACCCGGCUUUCCUCAUUGAAAUGGUGCCGGACUGUCACCGUGAAGCCCGUGUUGGAACACGCCUUUCCAUCGUAGAACUUGGUCCACGCGAUCCAACCACAUCUGGAGCAAUGCAUUCCUGCCAUCUAAAGUCCAUUUCAGUUUUUCUUUGAGAGCAGCAGGAUGGAAAGAACCAAACUUCACCUAUAAAUUCUGAGUCAGGAUAACUACUGACUUGUACAAAAAAAAAAAAUUGUGUGAGCACCAAUAGGAAACCCCAAAGCCGUGAGAAAAAUAGCUGAAGAACAUCGGGACCGAGAUUAUUUUACCAAAAAAGAAGGCCUCUCUUUGGAAUUAUAAACAGAAGCAGUGAAAAACAGGCAUCGGUUCGGCGCUUUCCAACACCGCCUUCCGGAGAAGGGAUCCGCGACACCGUAAUCCUCGAAUUCCCCGGCUCCGCCCGUCCCAAAGGAUUUAAGCAGCCUCGUCCCUCUUCCUCAGGACUGGUGAUAGUGGUGGUAGUGGUGGUGAUGGUGAUGUUCGUGGUGGUGGUGGUGCUCAUGUCUCUGGAUCACGGGAAUGACGUAGCCCUCGUUGGUCAGCACCGGGGGGAGGUCUCGCGUGACCUCGUGCUCCAAGACGGCGGGCUGGGCGUGAGUGGCUCUGAGCGGGGAGUGGGCGUCUUUGGCCUUCUGCCGGGAUUUCUUGUGGCUGUACGGCUGCUGCUGGAGGUGGUACCCGUCCGGCCCUGCUUGGACGGGCGGCCCGGGCCCGUAGUAGCUAGACGCUUUGGCCGACUUCGGCCCGCCGUUUCCGCCCGCCGAGGCCGGGUUUUUCCCGGAGCCCUUGGGCGACUUGAGGAACGGCCUCUCCUGGCCCCUCAGCCGCUGCGGCCCCUCCCACGCCCGGGCGGGGGGCUCGGCCGGCGGCCCCGGGUACUCGGCCAGCACCUGGGACCUCCUGUGGUGACCGGGGUGGGCGUCUGCCUCCGGCGGGCGAGGGUGGCUCUGGGCGUGGCUGCCCUUCCCGUGGUGGUCCUGCUUGGGCUGUGUCGGAGGGGAACCUGAAAGAGCGAGGCAAACGAGGCGUCAGUCCGGGCACGCCAUCUUGUAUUUAAAGGUGCUUUUGAACAUUCCUCUCCGUUUCUCUUCCAUCCCUCCCCCUCCACAGAGAAAUCAAAGUUCUUUCACAUCACUGAUCUCACUGCGCAUCCUUGAAGGGUCAGGGAGGAAGCAUUAAGACCCAAUUUGCAGCUGAGGAGAGUGAGGCUCAGGGAGGCUAAGCAACUUCCCCCAGGUCAGCAGAGGGAUACUGGAAAUGGGGAGUCCUGAUCGACUCGUUUCCCGAUCUGAAGGAGGGAAGAAAGGACUUGCUUAGAGUGCAAGGCAAUUCCACGGCAGUUGACCUAGAGGCAUUUAAGGUCCUGAAAACCUCCAACCCCUGGUCAAAAAAAUUGGAAGUUUCUGUCUCCUCCAUUAGGUUAUCAGCUCAUCAAAAGCGGGGGUCACAUCUACUAAUUCUGUAAAACUCUCCCAAGUGUUCAAUACGACGCUUAGCACAUGAUACAUGCUCGAUAAAUACUAUCAACCGAUGGACUUUACCUGCCUGUUGCCUUAUGGCAAAUCACAGCAAUUCAGAGCUGUAUUACGGUACCCCAGCAGCAUGGUCUAGCGGAUACAGCAGAGGCCUGGGAGUCAGGACGACCUGGGUUCUAAUCCCAGCUCUCCAAAACUCCUAACGAACAAACACGUUAUAGCCAAAAUGACUUAGCUCGCAGCUCGACCCGAUUAAAUUACCUUGGCUGGGGCCGAGACCACCCUUCCUUUUCCCAGAAGGCUCCGGGCUGACCGUCAGCUUCACUCUGAGCGUCUUACUGUUGUGAGAGGAAUGGUUCACCGAAGCAUCCACAACUUCGUAAAUGGUGUGCAUUAAACUGGACAUAUCCUGGGCAAGGGAAGCGAAGCGUGAGAUAGCAGAAGUCGCCGAUGGAUCUCAAAAGAAGAAAGCUAUUAAAAGUGAAAUGCUCCAAUUAGCAAUA